rnacentral:snoRNA from 14 species
GGGAAAUGAGGAGUGGUUAUUUUCUCGCUUUUAUUAUGCGAGAAGAGCGUUUCGCUCCGCCUGUUACGACAAUUGAGCGCUCUCCUUUGUCUUACCAUCUGAUCCC